rnacentral:rRNA from 1 species
GACGAACGCUGGCGGCGUGCUUAACACAUGCAAGUCGAACGGAAAGGCCCUGCUUUUGUGGGGUGCUCGAGUGGCGAACGGGUGAUUAACACGUGAGUAACCUGCCCUUGACUUUGGGAUAACUUCAGGAAACUUGGUCUAAUACCGGAUAGGAGCUCCUGCUGCAUGGUGGGGGUUGGAAAGUUUCGGCGGUUGGGGAUGGACUCGCGGCUUAUCAGCUUGUUGGUGGGGUAGUGGCUUACCAAGGCUUUGACGGGUAGCCGGCCUGAGAGGGUGACCGGCCACAUUGGGACUGAGAUACGGACCAGACUCCUACGGGAGGCAGCAGGGGGGAAUAUUGCACAAUGGGCGGAAGCGUGAGGCAGCAACGCCGCGUGCGGGAUGACGGCCUUCGGGUUGUAAACCGCUUUAGCCUGUGACGAAGCGUGAGUGACGGUAAUGGGUAAAGAAGCACCGGCUAACUACGUG